UUCUGACAGACCUAAUCCGGACAUACGUAGUUCUCUGUACCUAAAUAUGAAUUGAAUGAACCAGGAAAGGAAUCUACCGACCUUGAUAGGUGUUGGGCAUAGCAGUGCAGGAUAUUACCUUUUAUUCUCAAGCUCACAAAUCGCAGCAUUGAAAAAUUGCAAACAAUAGAACAGAGAACAUCAACAAAUCUUGUGCUUUACCAUUUCAGGUACACCCAAACUGAAAUUGUGUGAACUUUUCUCUUGAGAAAAGGUAAAAAGCAUUUUGUGUGGAUGCAUUUCAGGUACACGCUUCCACCCGGCCCUCUCCUCGCGCCUGCGCCCUUUGGUAGCCAUGGAUCUCAAAUGGAUGCAUGCAGCAGCCGACAUCCACGCGUCGCCCUGGCCAAAGCUCGCUGUGUCGGCUUCUGCGCGCUGCCCCAACCACCAGUUGAAGCUCUGCCUUGGACAACGCACAUCGCGCAUCGCCCCAGUCUCCUGUCGGCUGCUGAUGCACGUCGCUGCUGGUCUUCAUGAUGCGUCCCUGAACUUGCUCCGGCUUCAAGACCUCCACAGCGCUGCCGAAGCUCUGCCUUGGACGUAUUUUGGUGAGGGAUAUAGAGAUUCACGUAAGUUAUGCUGAAGUUCAAAUUCAGAAAAACAGGCGGUUCAAUGUUUAAAUUAUCUCCUUCGUUUCUGAAUAAUAAGUUGCAUGCUCUGGUGGAAUGGAUUAGCGACGAAGAGUUUUACAAUUUUCAUGUUCAGCUCGAUGCUAUUUGUUGCCUAAAUCACCCAGUAUGGUGGGGUAAUCUGAAUUUCUAUCCCUCUGUUUUUUGCGUGUGUGCCUGCUGUGCUGCCUAUAGGUUGAAAACGAGCAUUCACAGUGGGCUACAUUAGAGAAUAAAUAAUUUGGGCUGGGCUCAUUGGUAAGUGGAGGCCUAGUAGUUCAGAAACGAUGCACGCUAGUGGAUUUUGUUAUCUUUGCAACACUACUGGUUCACAAGCGAUUAACGCUGUUCCUUGAAAAAACAAGAAGCGAUGCACUCUUUUUCAAUAUUUGCACCAACACAAGUAUUUCUAGCUGCGCACGCAUGUUUCUCUAAAAAAUAAAACUACACGCGCCUGCCAUUUUUUUGAAUUGUUUGCUUACCACAUGUGUCACGUGGUGCACACAUGCAUGUCGUUGAUAGCUACUGUUUCGCAAAUGAAAUUUCUUGCGCUUAACAUUUUUAUUUUUAUUUUAAUCAAUAUGAUCCAUGGCA
rnacentral:lncRNA from 1 species